rnacentral:misc_RNA from 1 species
CCCGCGUGAUUCUCACCACCCCCUAUACACGCAACAAGGGUUGGCCGGUCGCGCGGAGGGGCAGGAGAGCUACGGGGGAGAUGAAACGAGUCCCUCUGUUUGAUCCGCAAACACUGUAAUUGCCUAGAAUAUUAUAUUAGGUACGCGGUGCUGUGUAACGGGGGCAGCGGGUGUACGGAGGUGGCAUGAAAAGAGAGACAGCAGGGUUGAUGGCACCCCGGCGAGCAACGAAUACGCUGGAACAAUAAUUUAUUUUAGUUUCACGGAAGGGAACGUGCCGUGGCACGCUGCCGCUGGCAGACGGGAAAAAGUAGGAACGUGAUAUUGAAAAUUAUCCGAAGCAAGUGGAUUUGUGAGAUGCUGGAACGCUAGAAAAACUUCAAAUACACUGAUGUAAUGAAAUGACUUCAUCGCGACAAAGACGGCGACAAUGACGAUUUUAUUCAAAUGGAAACAACAAGCGAAAGUGCUAAUGGAGAGGUACCUUGUCGUACCUCAUACAUCAUAGAAUUUCUGUUAUACAAUCGUAAAUAAGAUAGUAGAUAUUUAACUGACCCCAUUUAGCCUACCCUCGUUUGCUACAUACAUUUGGUUCAGAACGUACCCACGCCAAGUAGCUCGUGCUUCUUCUUUCGAUUCUGAUUCGUUGGAUGUUUUGAGGAGAAUAAUUAGCGAACCAUAGUCGAAACUACACGGUUAUUCAUAGUCCAGUUUUAAUAGUUCUAAUUGUCUAAUUAACACUAGAACCACCACACUAGUCGAAUUGGCUGGUUUUACAAUUUUAUUUUCAAAUUCUUACUUCGUGUUAUAUUUUUUUCGGUAAUGAUGUAACGAGAUUCGCAACGAUAAAUAAAAGAAUAAUAUAAUGAA